rfam:Myotis brandtii contig289953, whole genome shotgun sequence.
AGAGGCCCUCCGCGGCUGGGAUGGAAUGCUUGCCUCAUCGCUGUGGCGAUGAAGCAAGCAUUCUGCCAGGCCACUCAUGCUGCCCGC